rnacentral:rRNA from 1 species
AAGACCUUGCGCUUCUGGAGCGGCCGAUGCCUGAUUAGCUUGUUGGUAAGGUAAAAGCUUACCAAGGCUUCGAUCAGUAGCUGGUCUGAGAGGACGACCAGCCACACUGGGACUGAGACACGGCCCAGACUCCUACGGGAGGCAGCAGUGGGGAAUUUUGGACAAUGGGGGCAACCCUGAUCCAGCCAUGCCGCGUGAGUGAAGAAGGCCUUCGGGUUGUAAAGCUCUUUCAGCCGGAACGAAACGGUUACGGAUAACACCCGUGACUACUGACGGUACCGGAAGAAGAAGCACCGGCUAACUACGUGCCAGCAGCCGCGGUAAUACGUAGGGUGCGAGCGUUAAUCGGAAUUACUGGGCGUAAAGCGUGCGCAGGUGGUUUUGUAAGUCAGAUGUGAAAGCCCCGGGCUCUACCUGGGAACU